UUGCAUUUACCCGAAUAAGUAACUUACAAAAAAAUGAAGAAUGCCUAAGUGGAAGGGUGGCCAUCUUAAAAUUUGCAUGAAAAUUAUAAAGGAGGACAUAGUUCACCUUUCCCCAAGCCCAAUACAACAUGUAUACCACACUCAAAAACUUAUUUACAACAAGUAUCAUCAAACAAUAAAAAUUGAACAAAACGUGGAAAAGAACUCUUGGAAUAAAAAAGAAAACUUUGAGAGCUAUCACACGCCACAUUUUCCAAACCAUCAGCCGCUGCAUUUCCUUCUUUGAAUAUGUGAGAUAAGUUGAAAUGCAUAUCAAUCAUCAUGUUUGAGACUUCAUCCACCCAAGGGGAUGGACGUGAGACAUAUUCUUAAUUUGAAGAAAAUUUGAUUUCUUUGAAUACUUUAGGCCAUGUUUGAUUCGCUGCCAUUGGCCUCAUUCUUUUAAUUCUUGCCGAUUCUGAGAAAGAAUGAGCAAAAUGGGAUGUAGGUAUUUGGAUAAUCAUUUCUUGCCGUAGGACUCAUUUUUCCCAAAAUGAAAUUUCAGUUUUGGCAAAAAACUUAACCUAUUCUGUGGCACGAAAAUUUUUUGUGCUGCAUUACCAAUUCUUUUUUUCCUUCGAGUUUGAAACUCAAGCCCUCUCACUGAACCCUCGUCUCCCCUCUCUUUCUCCCUCACUUUCGUAAAAUUGAUUGAAGCUAAGAUCUCGAUCUGUUGAAGUCAUCGAUCCAAAGAGCUCAAAUCCAAGGUUGACCACCAAUAUCAGCCCUAUAACCACAGUGAAAGAAGCAUCGAUUAAGUUAUUUGAACAAUUUUUGUCUCGUCAUUAUUUUCUUUAUUGUUAAUCUAAUAUGUAACCCUAAUUUCUGAAGUUGAUACUACUGCUGAAGCAUUUGAAGAGUAUUGACCAAUUUAUCAAUCAUGUAUCUGUUGGCGGAAAAUGAUUCUUAUUUGAUACCACGGUUUUGCUAAGCAAACACCAGCUUUUGCUAAGCAACACUUGAAUUCCAUGGUUUGAAACAUCGGAAUCUGAUUCUUA